rnacentral:rRNA from 1 species
UACAGAGGUCUCAAGCGUUGUUCGGAUUCAUUGGGCGUAAAGGGUGCGUAGGCGGCGCGGUAAGUCGGGUGUGAAAUCUCGGAGCUUAACUCCGAAACUGCAUUCGAUACUGCCGUGCUUGAGGACUGGAGAGGAGACUGGAAUUUACGGUGUAGCGGUGAAAUGCGUAGAUAUCGGGAGGAACACCGGUGGCGAAGGCGGGUCUCUGGGCCGAUACUGACGCUGAGGAGCGAAAGCGUGGGGAGCGAACAG